CGUUACACCCUUUCUUGACAAAACCUAACUUGCGCAGAAACCGAGAUGAGAUUGGCAUGGCUUUAUUUGUUUUUGUUUUUUUUUUUUUAAUUUUUGUUUUUGGAUUUUUUAUUUUUUUUGUUUUUUUUUUUCGGUUUUGUUUUGUUUUUUUGGCGCUUGACUCAGGAUUUAAAAACUGGAACGGAGAAGGUGACAGCAGUGGGUUGGAGCGAGCAUCCCCAAAGUUCUACAAUGUGGCCGAGGACUUUGAUUGUACAUUGUUCUUUUUUUUUUUUUUAAUAGUCAUUCCAAAUAUCGUGAGAUGCAUUGUUACAGGAAGUCCUUUGCCUUCCCAAAAGCCACCCCGUUUCUCCCUGCAGAGAAGGGCCUGUCCUCGCCCGAGUCCACACAGGGGAGGGAAAGAGAAUUGCUUUUGUGUAAAUAGAACUUUAAAAAGUCCUUCCAGGAAGUAGCUCUCAGACAAACUAACUGACAGGUCUGAGAUUUUAUUGUAUUAAGUUGUCCUUCCUGGGGAAAAUGCAAGUGAGUCUGACCACUCCUCUUACCCUGACACAAGCUUUCUUCAGGAAGGGACACAUGAACUUUAUUAGGGAAAGCAGAAGAUCCAUUAUGAACCACUUUAAUGUAGCUUUUAUUCAGUUGGCCAUUUGCUAAUUUAAUAAAGAUUGUGUACCCCUGGAGGCUGAUACUCAGAAAUUUGAGAAGACAAUUAUUGAAGGGUUCAGCAGAGCAACUUGAAAGAAAGCUAGAGAUGAACUUCCCAAUUUCUAGAGAGAGAGAUGUGCCUGGCUUAUGUUCCAAAAAAGACCAUGUGGGCCAAGAGAACAGUGGACUCAAAGUCACUGGCCCAACGGACUUGACUUUGACACUCUUGGGCUGUGUGACUUUGAGUGACUUUACUUCUCUAAGUCUUAGUAUCCUAUUUUAAAAAUGAGUAUAACAAAAUCUACCUCCUAGAACUGUGAACGUUGUAUGAGAUGAAGUGUAUAAAAUGUUGAGCCUACAAUGCUAAGUCUGUUGACUUCAAGUGAGUCGGAGCCAAGAGAGGGUAAUGAGGGUGGCCCGGGGCCCAGUGAACAGGAUGGAGAUGCUUACUCAGAUAGGUGACUACAGCCCUGAGCAUUCUGCUUGAUGUAGGAGUGGGUGGAGGGGCUUGCUGCAGAGGCUUGAGCAGAGUGGGAAGGAGCUACACCUAGCUCUAGCUCUUUUGCCACACAAAGCACAUUUUUAGGCAGUAUAGGGCACCCAACCAAGCAUGCUGUCAAAACUCAGCACUCCAGAGGUCAAGGAGAAGGUAAAAGUGCUCUCUUGUGGCUGGGAAAGGGAUGGAUCCCAGCACUGACUGUGAGACUGUAUUCUACUACAGCAUCCAGAGAGGGGCAGCUGAGGGCUUCAGAUAUGUUGAUUGCAGGUCAUGGUAACCCUAAAUGUGGCCUAUGGGGUGUUCAAUGUUGGAAUCAUGAUGGAGGGGGCCCUCUAGGAGUGUAGAGCAGGGAUCCAGGCAGUGGAUGAUCCCCAAGGCCAGGUAUAUAUGGGAAGAAGCUCCUGUUUGGGGAAGGAGCCUGACCCUGAGAAGGACAGGACUCUGAUGAAAGCCAAUGCCUGCUGCAAAUGGCUUCACACCCAAAAAUUACAAGUGAACUGUAGCGUCAGAGUCAGAGGAUGUGAGAAAUGGUAAAAUUUAUACUGUAGUAACCAUAGAUAAUUUACAAAAUCUAAGACUUUCAAAUAAGUAGAUUUAUAAUGUUCCAAAAGAUAAGGAAGAGAUAGAAACCAUUAGGUAAGAACAGGAUCAUGGCAAAGAUCAGGUGGAUUUGAGGAAGAACCAAAUAGAAAUUCCAGGAACAAAAAAUGCAGCCAUUGAAAUAAAAAAAAGAAAAUCAUUAAGUGGUAGACUAGAAAUAGUUAAAGAACUGAUGAAGUAAAUGACAAAGGUAAGUAAAGGAGCCAAAAUGGAGCACAAAUGUGAGAGAGAUUAUAAGAAAAGGAAGACAGGGGACUUCUGGGUGGCUCAGCCGUUGGGCCUUUGGCUCAGGGCGUGAUCCUGGUCCUGGGAUCGAGUCCCAUGUGGGGCUCCCUGUGAGGAGCUUGCUUCUUUCUGCCUGUGUCUCUGCCUCUCUCUCUGUGUCUCUCAUGAAUAAAUAAAUAAAAUCUUAAAGAAAAAAACAAAACAAAACAAAACAAAAGAAAAGGAAGACAGAUUAAAGGAUUAAAAAUGUUUCUGAUGAAAGUAUCAGAAAAUGAGACAGGUUAUAAUGGAGAAAAGGAAGGACCAUGAGGGGAAAUGGAUAAUUUUUCAGUUUUGAAGAAAGCUCUAAGGCAUUGUUAAUGGAAUCCACAACAUUUUUAAAUGUGUAAAUAAAAACAAAUGAAUUCAGGAGCACCUGGGUGGUUCAGUUGAUUAAGCAUCUGACUCUUGAUUUUGGCUCAGGUUAAGAUCUCAAGGUUGUGAGAUUGCUCCCCAAGUCAAACUCCACAAUCACCAUGGAGUCUGUUUGUCCCUCUCCCUCUGCUCCCUCCUCCUGCUCUCUCUCAUAAAUAAAUAAACAAACAAACAAACAAACAAACAAAUAAAUAAAUAAAAUCUUAAAACAAAACAAAUGGAUUCAUAGCCCUAUCAUAGGAAAGAAAAAUAUUGAAUUCUAUAAAAGAAAAUCAUUACUUAUAAAAAGUGCAUGCUUCUUAUAGAAAACUUGAAAAUAUAAACUAAACUAUUAUGUUAAUUAAAUUAUAGUCAACUACUAUAACUUGGGUGUGUUUCUUUCAUUUCAAGACUUUUUUUUCUGUGCAUAUACAUUUUUGAAGAAAGCCUAACUCUUCAAGUAUGCAUAGUUUCAUGAGCUGUUUUUUUUUUUUUUUUUUUUAAAUAUUUAUUUAUUUAUGAUAGACAUGGAGAGAGAAGAAGCAGGCUCCACGCACUGGGAGCCCGACGUGGGAUUCGAUCCCGGGUCUCCAGGAUCGCGCCCUGGGCCAAAGGCAGGCGCCAAACCGCUGCGCCACCCAGGGAUCCCCAUGAGCUGUUUUUCACAUUGAAUGUAUCAUGAAUUAUCCAAUAUUAUUCUUGGAAGCAAUUUUUAAUAUUGAAAAGUCUCAAACUUACAGAAAUGUUGCAAGAACAGCAAAAUAAAACUUCUCUCCCAAAUCAUUUGAGAAAAAGUUGCCACUGAGGCUUGAUCACCUCCAACAUCACCUCUAGUGUUUAUUUCCUACACAUGAGGACAUUUUCUCAUAGAGCCACAGUACAAUAGCUAGAGGCAAGAUGUCAAUAUUAAUGUAUAUUAAUCCUCAGACCUCACUCAAGCUUUGCCAAUACAAAUGGAUCUAGCUAGUUCAGAAUCACACCUUGACAUUAAGUUUUCAGUCCUGCCAACUCUCCAGUCUUUUCUUGACUUUCAUGGCCUUUAUACUUUUGAAGACUGAAGGCUACUUGUUUCACAUGAUGUCCCUCACUUUGGGAUUUGCUGAUAUUUCCUUAUGGUUAGAUUCAAGUUUUAGUUUUUUGGCAGAAAUUUCACAAAAGUGGUGUUAUGUUGCAUUGCAUCCUAGCAAAUAGCACACAAUUUCAAUUUGUCCUAUAGCUGAUGAUGCCCACUUUGACCACUUGAUUAUUGCAACAUCUGUCAACCUUCUACACAAUAACAUCACUCCUUUUCUCUUUUAUAAUCAACAAGCAUUUGGAGGGAAGGUACUUCAAACUAUGUAAAUAUUUCAUUCCUCACCAAACUACUCUAAUUAUCUUUAUUUAUAUCAGAUGGACUCAUGGUUUCCUAUUUUAUUUAAUGAGUAUAAAUCAAUUAUUAUCAUUUUUCUUUUGAUGCUCACAUUUUCCCAGAUUUGGCCACUGGCAUUCCCUCAAGCUGGCUCCUCUGUCAUUUGACAUGUUCCCAUCAUUAUUGGACCAUUUCCUUGCUUUUUGGAACAAUGAGGUGUUCUAGAUACAUAUUGUACUUUGCUUUCUUCAGUCCUGGAAUCAGUCACUUCUUCAAGGAGCCCUGAUUCUGUUUACUGGAAAAUGAUAUUUAGAAACCUAGACCUGGACACUAGGUGUUUUUAUUUGUAUUGGGAUAUUGCGGUUCCUAUACACUCUCAGUGGAUACAGUAAGGAGAUACAUGUAUACACAUACUGUUUCUCAUAUAUUCAUAUUACAUCUAUUUAUCUAUCGAUCUCAUAUUUUGUUUAUCCAUUCAUCUAUAAAUAAAUGUUUGCAUUGCUUCACCUUUCAGUUAUUGUGAAUAAUGCUGGUAUCUCAUUUUUGC
rnacentral:lncRNA from 1 species